GCCCAGCCGUAAACAAUUAACUUACAACAACCAACGCCAGGGAAUUACAAGCAAUGCUCAAAACCCAAAGGAUUUGACGGUGUCCCACCCACCUAGAGGAGCCUGUUCUAUAAUCGAUGAUCCCCGCUUUACCUAACCACCCCUCGCCCCCAGUCUGUAUACCUCCGUCGGAAGCUUACCAUGUGAACGUUUAUAGUAAGCUCAAUGAUCCUCAUCUACACGUCAGGUCAAGGUGCAGCUCACGGGAUGGCAAGCAAUGGGCUACAAUUUCUAAUUUAGAACAAACGGAAGACUAUGUGAAAUCAAAGUCACAAAGGCGGAUUUAGAAGUAAAAAGAAAAUAGAGUGUUCUUUUUAACCCGGCUCUGGGACGCGUACACACCGCC
rnacentral:rRNA from 1 species